AUACGUAGGGGGCGAGCGUUGUCCGGAAUGAUUGGGCGUAAAGGGCGCGUAGGCGGCGCGGUAAGUCUGGAGUGAAAGUCCUGCUUUCAAGGUGGGAAUUGCUUUGGAUACUGCCGCGCUUGAGUGCAGGAGAGGUUAUCGGAAUUCCCGGUGUAGCGGUGAAAUGCGUAGAGAUCGGGAGGAACACCAGUGGCGAAGGCGGGUAACUGGACUGCAACUGACGCUGAGGCGCGAAAGUGUGGGGAGCAAACAGGAUUAGAUACCCUGGUAGUCCACGCUGUAAACGAUGAAUGCUAGGUGUAAGAGGUAUCGACCCCUUUUGUGCCGGAGUCAACACAAUAAGCAUUCCGCCUGGGGAGUACGGCCGCAAGGUUGAAACUCAAAGGAAUUGACGGGG
rnacentral:rRNA from 1 species